GUCUGUGGGAUAGCUCAGUCAGUAGAGCAUGAGACUCUUAAGGUUGUGGCUUCAAGCUCCACUUUAGGCA